rnacentral:rRNA from 1 species
UACGUAGGGUCCGAGCGUUGUCCGGAAUUAUUGGGCGUAAAGAGCUCGUAGGCGGUUCGGUAAGUCAGGUGUGAAAACUCCAGGCUCAACUUGGAGACGCCACCUGAUACUGUCGUGACUAGAGUCCGGUAGGGGAGCAUGGAAUUCCUGGUGUAGCGGUGAAAUGCGCAGAUAUCAGGAGGAACACCAGCGGCGAAGGCGGUGCUCUGGGCCGGAACUGACGCUGAGGAGCGAAAGCGUGGGGAGCGAACAGG